GACGAACGCUGGCGGCGUGCUUAACACAUGCAAGUCGAACGGAAAGGCCCUGCUUUUGUGGGGUGCUCGAGUGGCGAACGGGUGAGUAACACGUGAGUAACCUGCCCUUGACUUUGGGAUAACUUCAGGAAACUGGGGCUAAUACCGGAUAGGAGCUCCUGCUGCAUGGUGGGGGUUGGAAAGUUUCGGCGGUUGGGGAUGGACUCGCGGCUUAUCAGCUUGUUGGUGGGGUAGUGGCUUACCAAGGCUUUGACGGGUAGCCGGCCUGAGAGGGUGACCGGCCACAUUGGGACUGAGAUGCGGCCCAGACUCCUACGGGAGGCAGCAGUGGGGAAUAUUGCACAAUGGGCGGAAGCCUGAUGCAGCAACGCCGCGUGCGGGAUGACGGCCUUCGGGUUGUAAACCGCUUUCGCCUGUGACGAAGCGUGAGUGACGGUAAUGUGUAAAGAAGCACCGGCUAACUACGUG
rnacentral:rRNA from 1 species